rfam:Nasonia vitripennis chromosome 5 unlocalized genomic scaffold Chr5_random003, whole genome shotgun sequence.
CAAUCGGCCCUUUUCAGGGCCACUAUUUAACUAUAUACAUUUUUU